GAGUUUGAUCGUGGCUCAGAACGAACGUUAGCGGCGCGCCUAACACAUGCAAGUCGCACGAGAAAGGGCUUCGGCCCCGGUACAGUGGCGCACGGGUGAGUAACACGUGGGUAAUCUUCCCUUGGGCGGGGGAUAACCUUCCGAAAGGAGGGCUAAUACCGCAUAAGACCACGGACUCGAGAGAGCCUGCGGUCAAAGCAGGCCUCUUCAUGAAAGCUUGCACCUAAGGAUGAGCCCGCGGCCCAUCAGCUAGUUGGUAGGGUAAUGGCCUACCAAGGCGAAGACGGGUAGCUGGUCUGAGAGGAUGAUCAGCCACACUGGAACUGAGACACGGUCCAGACUCCUACGGGAGGCAGCAGUGGGGAAUCUUGCGCAAUGGGCGAAAGCCUGACGCAGCGACGCCGCGUGAGUGAUGAAGGCCCUCGGGUUGUAAAGCUCUGUGGGGAGAGACGAAUAAGGCGUGGCUAAUAUCCACGUUGAUGACGGUAUCUCCUUAGCAAGCACCGGCUAACU
rnacentral:rRNA from 1 species